UACGUAGGGUCCUAGCGUUGUCCGGAUUUAUUGGGCGUAAAGCGCUCGUAGGCGGUUCGGCAAGUCGGAUGUGAAAUCUCCACGCUUAACGUGGAGGGGCCAUUCGAAACUGCCGUGACUCGAGUCCGGUAGGGGAGUGUGGAAUUCCCGGUGUAGCGGUGAAAUGCGCAGAUAUCAGGAAGAACACCCGUGGCGAAGGCGGCUCUCUGGGACGGUACUGACGCUGAGGCACGAAAGCGUGGGGAGCAAACAGG
rnacentral:rRNA from 1 species